UACGGGGGGGGGCAAGCGUUUGUUCGGAAUUACUGGGCGUAAAGGGCUCGUAGGUGGCCAACUAAGUCAGACGUGAAAUCCCUCGGCUUAACCGGGGAACUGCGUCUGAUACUGGAUGGCUUGAGAUUGGGAGAGGGAUGCGGAAUUCCAGGUGUAGCGGUGAAAUGCGUAGAUAUCUGGAGGAACACCGGUGGCGAAGGCGGCAUCCUGGACCAACACUGACGCUGAGGAGCGAAAGCCAGGGGAGCAAACAGG
rnacentral:rRNA from 1 species